GUUGAGGCAUACGAUAGAAAGAUUUCAUAUUGAAUGUAUCAAAUUUUGGGUCCGACGGCCGUGAACUUUUUUACUCUUUAAACUUCGGGAACCACGUAAAAGGAUCAAUAUAUAAAUCUGUUAUUUUUCUCUACUGUUGAAGCAUAUGAUAAAAAGAUUAUAACAUGUCAUUUUUCAUAUCGCAUGUAUUAUCAGCCCUCGGUCAAUAUCAGCCCUCGAGCCAUGCGGCUCUUGGGCUGAUAUUGAACCUAGGGCUGAUAAUACAUGCGAUAUGAAAAAUGCCAUGUAAUAAUCUGAUAUUAUCAAUGAAGUUAAGGUAUGAAAGGUAAGAAUUGCCACUUAUUCGAUUUUCACAAAAUUUUCGUAAUAUACAGUUGAAAGGUUAUUUUUUAAAAGCCUAUUGUGAAGAGUAAAGAGAAAGUUUACAAAUAAUACGUUUUGUUCCAUUAAACAAGUCAUUUUCGUAAGAGAAAUACCGAAAUAUAUUUUACGCACGACUACGGCAGGUAAAAUUAUUAUUUAUCAUAAUAAAAAAAAAACAUUUUUCAGUCUCAUUGGAAUAUGUUGAUUACAAUUAAUCCCAAACUUAAGAAGUAAGUAACUAAAGUCAAAAUAUGUCCGAUCUGCCUAUUUCUGCACAUCAAAAGUCAAUACGAUCGUUUUAAAGUCAAUUUCGUCUACCUCAC
rnacentral:lncRNA from 1 species